rnacentral:rRNA from 1 species
GACGAAGGGGGCUAGCGUUGUUCGGAAUUACUGGGCGUAAAGCGCGCGUAGGCGGCUUUGUAUGUCGAUUGUGAAAGCCCCGGGCUCAACCUGGGAACUGCAGUCGAAACUGCAAAGCUUGAAUGUUGGAGAGGUUGGGGGAAUACCUAGUGGAGAAGUGAAAUUCGUAGAGAUUAGGUGGAACACCAGAGGCGAAGGCGCCUGACUGGCCAAACAUUGACGCUGAGGCGCGAAAGCGUGGGUAGCAAACAGG